GAGAAGUUCAUACACUUUAUUCCUGUUCUCACCAUCAUUUGUUUCGUCAUUCUCUAUCUCUCCUCUUAUGAUCCAUCUCAAAACGAUUUGGCUGGAUUUAAUCGCCUGUUGAAGCCAAUAGAUUCGACUGAGAUUGAUGGUUUCCAUCAAGUCGUGGAGAUCGAUGAGGUCGAUGAAUUGCCGAUUCGAAGCCUUCAUGAGAUAGGAAGAUACAGUCGACACCGGAAGAUCGGACGAGUUGUUCACAGGUAGGAAGAAGCAGUUGCUUUUCUAUUUGUUAGUAUUGCCAUUUUCAAAAAAAACAUGGAAGAAUGUUAAUAUGGAGAUGACGAUUAUAGCGAGGUUUUGCUAACUUGCACCUCCUCUUAGAACUAUUUCAAAAAUAAAUGGUGCACUCAUGCUAUUGGAUUACAGCUGGAGAUUCCAAAAUUUGAGGCCGUUAUAGAACGGUUAAAAGGUGAGACAAUUAGCUUAACCAACUGUAUUAUCACUUAUUAAUUAUAUAUUUUGCUUAA